UACAAUCAGAAGCCCAAAAAUUGAGCCCAUUUAACAAUUAUUUUCUAUAUAGAUUUUGGUUAGGUUAAAAAAUAGGGGUGGUGAAUUUAUUUUUUAGAAUAGGGUUGUAAAAUUUACAGAUUUGAAUUCAAAAUGGGCUCUACUAUUCAUUAACUUUUCGGUCAUCACCAUCCCGGAUUCCGGCUAAGCUCCGGCAACUCUAAAACCCUCUUCUUUUUCCCCUUUUUCCGGUGAAAUGGUCACCGGAAACAACCCCAUUUCCCCUUUCCUCGUUUCCAGCAACUACCACCCAAAAACCCCACUCCAAAACAACCAUUUUUCCUUACCAGACCCACACAGCAGCAAACAACACACCAACAGACCCAAAACCAGCCAAACGAUCCCCACACUACCUAUUUUAUUCCUUUUCCAGAUCCACUGGCGAGCUCGAAGCUCGCCACCUCCAAACCACCCCGUUUCCCUCUCCCACCAGACCAAAACCCCCUUUAAGUCAAUCGCCACAGCCUCAUAAACCAGCAACCAAAGCUCCGAGCGGCCAUCCAAAACCCCGACCCAGACCAUCCCUUUUCAAUAAACUACAACAACCCAGUCGCUGCCAGUUCCCUUCCACGUCCCCUUUUACAUUUUCUUCUUUUUACAGGUAUUUUGGCUCAAAGUCGGUGAGCUCCGAUGAAAAAAUGAGUUCCCACCACUGCGAGCUUCAAGCUCCGCGAACAACCAGACACAACCAGCAAAACGCCAACCUCCGUAGCUCCGGCAAACAAGUACCCGGAGGUGCUUCCUAUUGAAGUUAUUCGAAUUAGGUUCGAAUUAUAUUCCUAUUUAUAUUGUAUAUUAUUGACGAUAGACAAAUUUAGGUCGAUUCCUAUAUUAUUGUUUUAUCAUAUUACUUGUGUAUAUUGCAUGUUUAUUAUAUUUGUA